rnacentral:rRNA from 1 species
UACAGAGGAGCCAAGCGUUGUCCGGAUUGACUGGGCGUAAAGCGCACGCAGGCGGUUGCGCGCGUGGGGUGUGAAAUCUGGCCGCUUAACGGCCAGGCGCCAUCCCAUACGGCGCGACUGGAGUGAUGCAGAGGUCGAUGGAAUUGCCGGUGUACUGGUGAAAUGCGUAGAGAUCGGCAGGAACACCCAGGGGGGAAACCAGUCGACUGGGCAUCUACUGACGCUGAGGUGCGAGAGCGUGGGGAGCGAACCGG